rnacentral:lncRNA from 1 species
UUGGGGAAGAAAAUUGAAGGUAAGUUCAUGGUAGUUUGCUUCUAUCUUGAUGUUCAUGAGUUCUUCUGAAUUCUACCUUAACUCUUGAAGCAUAUUUUGGUUUUUGGUUGUGUUUUGAGCAUUUGGUCAUGAAUUAAAAUGAAGGAAAUUGUUGUUGUUUCAUGUUCUUUUGAUGAAAAAUUGAAGAUAGGUGAAGUUGAGCCAAACAAAUGAGCAUGCAUGUGCCUUAGAUGCUAAGGGGAAAAUCGGCUAACAUGUUAUGCUUUAAAAUGAUGAAAUGGAGAUUAUACUUAAGUAAAAUCAUAGAUAUGUGAUGAUUGAUUGGUGAUAUAUAUGUUUAAAUAACAAACAUGCAAGUUAGGUGUGAAAGAGUGAUUUGGUAAUAAAUCUGCUUGGGACAGCAGCUACAUAAAUUAUGGGAAAUCACCAUAAAUUGUGGGAGAUGAGUUAGAAGCUACAUAAAUUAUGUAAUUAAAGCUUACUGAGUCUAGUUUCAAAUGGAAUAAACAAGAACAUAUUUUGAAUUCUGUACAAUGAGAAAUUUGAUUCGUAAUGAAGAGUGGUCAGAUUAGUCAAACAGUAAAACAUGGGAAACUUUAAGAAAAAUCUGGUAUUGAUUGGCCAUACGAAAUAUUCUAAAAAUUUUAUUGAUAGAAGAUAUGUGAGUCUAUUUUCAGGGAAAAUUAACAACACUUGAUUUGGAGUUUCGUAGCUCUAGUUAUAAAUAAUAUAGUGACUGUUGCUCAGGAAGACAGCUUGCAGUGAAACUAUGAUUAUGUGGUAAACAUUGACAAAAAUUUGUUAAUGAGUUGCUUAUUGUUUUCUUAUAAGCUUACUAUGAUCUGUAGGUGUGGUUGUCCGAAUAUUGUAAGGGGUUAAUACGUAGUUUGUAUUUGAAUAGUUAGAUUAACGUGUUAGUAAUCCAAUUGUAGGCGGUUCGUGUGUGGAUCUCGUCAGCAUAUCGUCGCAAACAGGUGUGUAACUAACAGCCUCUUUCUUAGUCUAGAUCAGCGAAAACCGAAAAGCCGACAUACCGAAAACCAGUAUUUUGUAGAUUUACGAGUGUGCGAAUGCUCGUGAGGUAAAUCGAUUAAUGUUUUUGGUAAGCUGUAAUGUUUGGACAGCAAAGUGCAUGAUUUAUGUGCCCUCGAUAUUUUUGGGCUUAAUGGGCCAAAAUUGGAAUGAUGGGCCAACGGGCCCAAUUCGGUAAGAACCCUCGGUACGUGAUUCUGUUAGUACGUGAAAGGUAGGAAUAUGCAUGAAAAC